rnacentral:rRNA from 1 species
ACUGGAGGUCCGAACCGACUAGUGUUGCAAAAUUAGCGGAUGACCUGUGGAUAGGGGGUGAAAGGCCAAUCAAACUGAGAGAUAGCUCCGUUACUCCCCCGAAAUGUUUUUAGGAACAGCGUCGCAUAUAGAAGUUUAUUAGAGGUAGAGCUACUGAUUGGGCUAGGGGGCUUCAUCGCCUACCAAACCCUGACAAACUCCGAAUGCUAAUAAAUAUCUGCGGCAGUGAGGCUGUGGGCGCUAAGGUCAAUGGCCGAGAGGGAAAUAACCCAGAUUAGCAACUAAGGUCCCUAAUACAUAGUUAAGUUGGUUAAAACGAGGUGAGACUUCACUGACAGCCAGGAUGUUUGCUUGGAAGCAGCAAUUCAUUUAAAGAGUGCGUAACAGCUCACUGGUCGAGAGGUCUUGCACGGAAAAUAAUCGGGCAUCAAACUAUGAACCGAAGUUCUAAACAUCCACUUUAGGUGGAUUGUGGUAGGGGAG